rnacentral:hammerhead_ribozyme from 1 species
GCACUACUGAGGAGUCCCAUACCAGGACGAAACGGCCGUCAAGUGC